rnacentral:rRNA from 1 species
AUUGAACGCUGGCGGCAGGCUUAACACAUGCAAGUCGAGCGGGGUGAUGGUGCUUGCACUAUCACUUAGCGGCGGACGGGUGAGUAAUGCUUAGGAAUCUGCCUAUUAGUGGGGGACAACAUCUCGAAAGGGAUGCUAAUACCGCAUACGUCCUACGGGAGAAAGCAGGGGAUCACUUGUGACCUUGCGCUAAUAGAUGAGCCUAAGUCGGAUUAGCUAGAUGGUGGGGUAAAGGCCUACCAAGGCGACGAUCCGUAGCGGGUCUGAGAGGAUGAUCCGCCACACUGGGACUGAGACACGGCCCAGACUCCUACGGGAGGCAGCAGUGGGGAAUAUUGGACAAUGGGGGGAACCCUGAUCCAGCCAUGCCGCGUGUGUGAAGAAGGCCUUAUGGUUGUAAAGCACUUUAAGCGAGGAGGAGGCUCUUUUGGUUAAUACCCAAGAUGAGUGGACGUUACUCGCAGAAUAAGCACCGGCUAACUCUGUGCCAGCCGCCGCGGUAA